AGCCAGUGUGGUGUAGUGGUUAGAGUGUCGGACUAGGACCCGGGAGACCAGGGUUCAAGUCCCCGCUUGGCUG